UACGUAGGUGGCAAGCGUUGUCCGGAUUUAUUGGGUUUAAAGGGUGCGUAGGCGGCCUAUUAAGUCAGUGCUGAAAUAUCCCGGCUUAACCGGGAGGGUGGCAUUGAUACUGAUGGGCUUGAGUAGAGUUGAGGUUGGCGGAGUUGACGGUGUAGCGGUGAAGUGCUUAGAUAUCGUCAAGAACACCUAUUGCGAAGGCAGCUAACUAAGCUCAAACUGACGCUGAGGCACGAAAGUGUGGGGAUCAAACAGG
rnacentral:rRNA from 1 species